rnacentral:rRNA from 1 species
AUGGGCACAAUUUUGGAUGCUCUCACUUCGAAAUUUUUGACAAAGCUGGGUCAGCUUAUCGAAGAUGAGGUUGUGAUGACACUAAGCGUGAAAAAGGAUAUCAAGAGGCUGAAGAAAAAUCUGGAAUACUUCAGCGCUGUUCGUGAGGACACAGAAGCUCUGGCCAUGGAAGAUAGACGGAUAGAGGCAUGGUGGAAGAGCAUGACUGAUGUUAUGUUUGAUGUUGAUGUCAUCAUAGAUCUUGUUAUGGUUCAUUCACAGAAGCUUCUGCUACCACCUAGAUCGGUAUGUUGCAACCAGUCUAUGGUUUCUUGUUUUGGAAAGCUUUCAUUUGAUCAUAAGGUGGCUAGAAGAACUAAGGACAUAAAUGAAAAGCUUGAUGAGAUUAAAACGAACACACAGAUGUUCAGCUUGGAUAGAACCAUUCGUCAACAGUUCCAGGUAACAACCGUGGAUAGAAAUCAGACAUCCCCUAUAGAUGAACUAGAGGUUGUUGGAAGAGAGAUCAAACAAUCUGUUGGUAACAUAGUACAAAUGAUUGUCAGUGGCUGCCAUGAGAAUAGUAGAAGUGUUCUGGGGAUUCAAGGAAUGGGAGGCAUUGGUAAGACAACGUUAGCCCAGAAGAUAUAUAAUGAGCAGAUGAUAAGAGAGAAAUUCCAAGUUCGUAUAUGGUUGUGCGUUUCGCAGAGCUACACAGAGACCGGGUUGAUAAAGCAGGCAAUACGAAUGGCUGGAGAAAAGUGUGAUCAACUAGAGACCAAGACCGAGCUUCUUCCACUUUUAGUGGACACUAUCAAAGGAAAGAGUGUUUUUCUUGUCCUGGAUGAUGUGUGGAAAUCUGAUGUCUGGAUUGAUCUUCUUCUAUCGCCUUUCAUGAGAGCCUUUAAUUUCCAUGUCCUUGUCACCACAAGAGACCUGGAUGUUUUGUCAGAAAUGCAUGCAAUAUAUACCCACCGAGUAAACAAAAUGAAUUACAAUGAUGGCUUAGAACUGCUUAUGAAGAAGUCCUUUCAGUCGUCCGAGCAAAUAAGUGAAUUCAAGAAUAUGGGGUAUGAAAUUGUAAAGAAAUGUGAUGGCCUUCCUCUUGCCAUAAAGGUCGUUGCAGGUGUCCUAUCUACCAAAAAAACAGUUGCCGAAUGGAAGAGCAUCCGAGAUAGCAAAUGGUCCAUUCAUGGACUCCCCAAAGAACUUGGAGGCCCACUGUAUUUAAGUUACAACAAUUUGCCCCCUCAACUCAAGCAGUGCUUUCUCUGGUGUGCUUUGUUGCCUCCUAAUUUUGGAAUCCACCGUGAUGCUGUAGCUUACUGGUGGGUUGCCGAAGGUUUUGUGAGGAAAGAGCAUGAGUUCUCAGUACAUGAAAUUGCUGAAGAGUAUUAUCUUGAGCUAGUUCGGAGGAAUCUUAUUCAACCAAUACCAAAGUAUGUAGACAAGGCUGUGUCAACAAUGCAUGAUCUAUUGAGGUCACUUGGACAAUAUCUGACAAAGGAUCACUCCCUAUUCAUGAAUGCGGAAAAUAAUAAUGCCAUGUCGAAUCUGCGCCGCAUAGGCAUCAGCCAUGCUGUAGAAAAAAUACCCGCUCUAGAAGAGCAUAAGUGUUUGAGGAGUCUCCUACUUUUUAAUAACAAGAACUUCAAGUUGAUUCACAAGGAAAUAUUCAGAAAGCUCGAGCAUAUCCGUAUUUUAGUUCUCAGCGGAACAAGCAUCCAAAACAUACCAGAGUCAUUGGGGAACUUGGUGCUAUUGAGAUUGCUAGAUCUGAGCUAUACUGAGAUUAACAAACUUCCAGAGUCCACAGGUAGCCUCAUCAGCCUUGAAUAUCUCUCUUUGCUUGGUUGCCAUCAUCUGGAUAGCCUGCCAGCUGGUCUCAUGAGACUGUCCAACAUAAGUUUUUUGCAAUUAGAACAGACUGCAGUUGAUCAUGUUCCAAAAGGGAUUGCAAAGUUUCAGCAGCUCUACAACCUAAGAGGAGUUUUCGAGAGUGGUACUGGAUUCAGAUUAGAUGAAUUGAGACGCCUCCCCAAUAUCCAACGUCUGUGGGUCGAGAAGCUAGAGUCAGCGGUACCAGGGACUGAACUUGUACUGAAGAACAGCCAUAAUCUUAGAGAACUGGGACUGCGCUGCACAGUGGCCAGUACACAAGAGAGAACUCGUUACCAGACUGAUGAGGUUGUGAGAAUUCAGCAAGUUUAUGAGAUGCUUAUUCCAUCACCAAGCCUUGUAUAUAUUUUUCUGGAAGGGUUCCUGGGUAUAAGGUUCCCAGAAUGGCUACUCUCAGAACCGGAGCUCAAUAUGCCAGGUUUGUGUCAUAUGCACCUCAAUGAGUGCGUAUCAUGUUCAGAGCUUCCACCAGCAGGUCAGAUGCCAGAAUUGCUAGUUCUUCAGAUUAAAGGUGCAGAUGAAGUUGUAACUAUUGGCACAGAACUCCUGGGCAAAGGUGUGAGAAGUGCAGCAGCUUUUUUCCCAAAACUCGAACUGCUUCACAUCAUUGGCAUGUGCAAUUUGGAAAAAUGGUCACUGAACAGAAAUAUGUGUGAUGACAUGGAGGACAACUCUCAACAGCUCUCUCUGAUGCCUUGCCUUAAGCGUGUUCUGCUUCUUGAUUGCCCCAAACUGAGAGCUCUGCCUCAAGACAUGUCCAUGAUUGUUAAUUUGAAGAGAAUCCACAUUGAAGGUGCUCACAAGCUUCAAGAAGUUGUCAAUCUUCCUGCCGUUCUGUGGCUCAAGGUGAAGAACAACGCAUGUUUGAGGAGGAUUUCUAACCUCUGUAAGUUGCAGCACCUGUUUGUACAGGACUGCCCAAUGCUGGAUCAGGCAGAGAACCUGUGCUCGCUGAAUAGGGUGUACAUGAUUGACUGCCCACAUGUCCAAGAGUUCAGGAAUUGUCUCGCGGAAGAAGAGCAAGGCAUCCUAGUCCAUGUUGCAGCAGAUGGACGUAAUAUCUUCCCGGAUGAAUCUCUCUGUAAUUAG